AUUGAACGCUGGCGGAAUGCUUUACACAUGCAAGUCGAACGGCAGCACGGGGCAACCUGGUGGCGAGUGGCGAACGGGUGAGUAAUACAUCGGAACGUGCCCAGUCGUGGGGGAUAACGUAGCGAAAGUUACGCUAAUACCGCAUACGAUCUAUGGAUGAAAGCGGGGGAUCGCAAGACCUCGCGCGAUUGGAGCGGCCGAUAUCAGAUUAGCUAGUUGGUGGGGUAAAAGCUCACCAAGCCAACGAUCUGUAGCUGGUCUGAGAGGACGACCAGCCACACUGGAACUGAGACACGGUCCAGACUCCUACGGGAGGCAGCAGUGGGGAAUUUUGGACAAUGGGCGCAAGCCUGAUCCAGCCAUUCCGCGUGCAGGAUGAAGGCCUUCGGGUUGUAAACUGCUUUUGUACGGAACGAAACGGUCUGCCCUAAUACGGCGGCUAAUGACGGUACCGUAAGAAUAAGCACCGGCUAACUACGUGCCAGCAGCCGCGGU
rnacentral:rRNA from 1 species